rnacentral:rRNA from 1 species
UACGUAGGGUGCGAGCGUUGUCCGGAAUUAUUGGGCGUAAAGAGCUCGUAGGCGGUCUGUCGCGUCUGCUGUGAAAACUCAGGGCUUAACCCUGAGCUUGCAGUGGGUACGGGCAGACUAGAGUGCGGUAGGGGAGACUGGAAUUCCUGGUGUAGCGGUGAAACGCGCAGAUAUCAGGAGGAACACCGGUGGCGAAGGCGGGUCUCUGGGCCGAUACUGACGCUGAGGAGCGAAAGCGUGGGGAGCGAACAGG